rnacentral:rRNA from 1 species
UUGGGAGCGCUCCCAUAUGGUCGACCUGCAGGCGGCCGCGAAUUCACUAGUGAUUCGUAUUACCGCGGCUGCUGGCACAGAGUUAGCCGGUGCUUAUUCUGUCGGUAACGUCAAAACACUAACGUAUUAGGUUAAUGCCCUUCCUCCCAACUUAAAGUGCUUUACAACCCGAAGGCCUUCUUCACUCACGCGGCAUUGCUGGAUCAGGCUUGCGCCCAUUGUCCAAAAUUCCCCACUGCUGCCUCCCGUAGGAGUCUGGACCGUGUCUCAGUUCCAGUGUGGCUGGUCGUCCUCUCAGACCAGCUACUGAUCGUUGCCUUGGUGGGCCUUUACCCCACCAACUAGCUAAUCAGAUAUCGGCCGCUCCAUGAGCAUGAGGUCUUGCGAUCCCCCACUUUCACCCGUAGGUCGUAUGCGGUAUUAGCGUAACUUUCGCUACGUUAUCCCCCACUCCUGGGUACGUUCCGAUAUAUUACUCACCCGUUCGCCACUCGCCGCCAGGUUACCCCGCGCUGCCGUUCGACUUGCAUGUGUAAAGCAUGCCGCCAGCGUUCAAUCUGAGCCAGGAUCAAACUCUAAUCGAAUUCCCGCGGCCGCCAUGGCGGCCGGGAGCAUGCGAC